rnacentral:lncRNA from 1 species
CGGCAUCGCAUCGGGGCACGGUGGGACACUUUGGUUAUGGGUUUGAGCCAUAAUCACAGAGCCCAUUGUAGUGCUCCAUACCUUAAAUGCCUUUUUUCAGCCUAAACCCAGCAAAUUUUGCCCUACAGGUGUGCCCGGAGGUGUUUGGGGUGCCCAAAUCCUGGUGGCACGGUGGCACCCAAGGGCCGGCAUCUCCAAAACUCGCUGCCCGGAGAGCUCUGCAGCUGGAGACCUGCUUCUGGCCGGCCAGCCAAAGCAAACAAGUGAUCGAGGAAACAGCAACAAGUAGAGGGGAAGUUAUUUUAAGUCUUUCCCGGAUGGGAAACAGCGGAGGUAUCCGCGGGUCUCGUGUGCUUUGCCUUCCUAAUCUUUCCCCGUGGACACGGAGCGGAAAACCAAGAAGCCCGGAGGCGGCAAGCCAAAAAUGCCACACGACCCCAGCUCUGUCCGCAGAGGGACAAAGAGAAAUGAUUUGGGACAAUGAGGUGGCAAAAGCCACCUUCCAGGUGAGGUGUCCGGCACCCGGGUGGCCUCCCAGGCACCAAGCCCUGCUCAGCUCCUUUAGGGCUGUGGAGAAAGGAAAAGCGAAAUGGAAGUGGCCCCGAGGCUCCAAGACACGUCUGGGUGCGCUCAUGAAAAGGAAAGGACGUGAAGAUGAAGUCGCCCAUCAUCAUCAUCAUCAUUGGGCAAGGAGAGGCUCAGCUCCCCCUUCCUACCCCGCUGACUUCCCCAGGGAUUUAGGAAGGCAGGUUGGGGGAGAAAGCAGUCUGCAACACGCUUCCUGAGAAAUGCUGAGACAUGGGAACGGCAGGUCCUCGUACGUCAGGAGCCAAAUCAACAUUUUUUUGCUCAAAUUCCCAAGAAAGGCGAGGUUGCCAGACUCCCACGGAGCCCUGGAGGAGUGGGUGUGUUGGGCUCGAGGGUGCUGCGGGGAUCUCAGCACCCUCCGGCGGGGAGCUGGGGCUGGAUCCCCCAAAAUAUAGCCCUGGGACCCCUCAAGGGAUGGG